AUGAACGCUGGCGGCGUGCCUAAUACAUGCAAGUCGAGCGAACGGACGAGAAGCUUGCUUCUCUGAUGUUAGCGGCGGACGGGUGAGUAACACGUGGAUAACCUACCUAUAAGACUGGGAUAACUUCGGGAAACCGGAGCUAAUACCGGAUAAUAUUUUGAACCGCAUGGUUCAAAAGUGAAAGAUGGUCUUGCUGUCACUUAUAGAUGGAUCCGCGCUGCAUUAGCUAGUUGGUAAGGUAACGGCUUACCAAGGCAACGAUGCAUAGCCGACCUGAGAGGGUGAUCGGCCACACUGGAACUGAGACACGGUCCAGACUCCUACGGGAGGCAGCAGUAGGGAAUCUUCCGCAAUGGGCGAAAGCCUGACGGAGCAACGCCGAGUGAGUGAUGAAGGUCUUCGGAUCGUAAAACUCUGUUAUUAGGGAAGAACAUAUGUGUAAGUAACUGUGCACAUCUUGACGGUACCUAAUCAGAAAGCCACGGCUAACUACGUG
rnacentral:rRNA from 1 species